UUGUGGGGACGCAGAGGGAUAAGAUGACCGGGGGACAGAUUCCCGGGCAAGCGCAGGAGGUGUCAGGCAGGCAAAUCCGUCUGACAAGCCAAAGGCGUGACGCGGACCGAACUAAAGUAGGGAAGCAUCUGAUUCCAGCUGCCGAGAAAAGCCGCUAUUGUGUACCAUGUGCCCGUACCGUAAACCGACACAGGUGGAUGAGGAGAGAAUCCUAAGGCCGGCGGGAGAAGCAUUGUUAAGGAACUCGGCAAAAUGACCCCGUAACUUCGGGAUAAGGGGUGCCAGAGAGAUCUGGCCGCAGAGAAUAGGCUCAAGCAACUGUUUAGCAAAAACACAGGUCUAUGCGAAACCGUAAGGUGAUGUAUAUGGGCUGACGCCUGCCCGGUGCUGGAAGGUUAAGAGGAGAGGUUAGAGCAAUCGAAGCUUUGAAUUGAAGCCCCAGUAAACGGCGGCCGUAACGAUAACGGUCCUAAGGUAGCGAAAUUCCUUGUCGGGUAAGUUCCGACCCGCACGGAAGGCGUAAUGAUUUGAGCGCUGUCUCGACAAUGCACCCGGUGAAAUUGAAAUACCGGUGAAGAUGCUGGUUACCUGCGCCAGGACGGAAAGACCCCAUGGAGCUUUACUCCAGCUUGAUACUGGGAUUCGGUAAUGCAUGCACAGGAUAGGUGGGAGGCUACGAGUACGGAACUCCGGUUUCGUAUGAGCCGCUGUUGGGAUACCACCCUUGCGUUACUGGGUUUCUAACCAUGGUCCAUGAUCUGGAUCGAGGACAAUGUCAGGUGGGGAGUUUGACUGGGGCGGUCGCCUCCGAAAGGGUAUCGGAGGCGCUCAAAGGUUCCCUCAGAAUGGUUGGAAACCAUUCGAAGAGUGCAAAGGCAGAAGGGAGCUUGACUGCGAGACCGACGGGUCGAGCAGGUAGGAAACUAGGACUUAGUGAUCCGGUGGUAUGAAAGUGGGAUUGCCAUCGCUCAACGGAUAAAAGCUACCCUGGGAUAACAGGCUUAUCACUCCCAAGAGUUCACAUCGACGGAGUGGUUUGGCACCUCGAUGUCGGCUCAUCGCAUCCUGGGGCUGAAGUAGGUCCCAAGGGUUGGGCUGUUCGCCCAUUAAAGCGGUACGCGAGCUGGGUUCAGAACGUCGUGAGACAGUUCGGUCCCUAUCCGGCGCAGGCGGAGGAUAUUUGAGAGGAGCUGUCCUUAGUACGAGAGGACCGGGAUGGACGGACCGCUGGUGUACCGGUUGAGCUGCUAAGCUCAUGGCCGGGUAGCCAAGUCUGGCAGGAUAAACGCUGAAGGCAUCUAAGCGUGAAGCCCCCCUCAAGAUAAGAUAUCCCAUUCGAAAGAAGUAAGACCCCUUGAAGACGACGAGGUAGAUAGGGCAGAGGUGGAAGUGCAGUAAUGUACGGAGCUGACUGUUACUAAUCGGUCGAGGGCUUAUC
rnacentral:rRNA from 1 species